rnacentral:rRNA from 1 species
GAUGAACGCUGGCGGCGUGCCUAAUACAUGCAAGUCGAGCGAACAGACGAGGAGCUUGCUCCUCUGACGUUAGCGGCGGACGGGUGAGUAACACGUGGAUAACCUACCUAUAAGACUGGGAUAACUUCGGGAAACCGGAGCUAAUACCGGAUAAUAUAUUGAACCGCAUGGUUCAAUAGUGAAAGACGGUUUUGCUGUCACUUAUAGAUGGAUCCGCGCCGCAUUAGCUAGUUGGUAAGGUAACGGCUUACCAAGGCAACGAUGCGUAGCCGACCUGAGAGGGUGAUCGGCCACACUAGAACGGAGACACGGUCCAGACUCCUACGGGAGGCAGCAGUAGGGAAGCUUCCGCAAUGGGCGAAAGCUUGACGGAGCAACGCCGCGGGGGUGAUGAAGGUCUUCGGAUCGUAAAACUCUGUUAUUAGGGAAGAACAAAUGUGUAAGUAACUAUGCACGGCUUGACGGUACCUAAUCAGAAAGCCACGGCUAACUACGUG